rnacentral:rRNA from 1 species
GAGCACGUAGGUGGGUUUGUAAGUCAGACGUGAAAGCCUUCUGUUCAACGGAAGAAUUGCAUCUGAAGCUGCGAGUCUUGAGUGUAGGAGGGGAGAAUGGAACUUCUGGUGGAGCGGUGAGAUGCGUAGAUAUCAGAUGGAACGCCGGCGGCGAAAGCGAUUCUCUGGCCUAUUACUGACACUCAGUGUGCGAAAGCUAGGGGAGCAAACGGGAUUAGAUACCCCGGUAGUCCUAGCCGUAAACGAUGGGCACUAAGUAGAGGGGUUUU